GUCGGAGGCGGUCUCUGGGGAGCGUGUUGCCCCGAGGGGGAUGCCCUAAGGUGUCUGGAAAGACUUGUGUCUGAGGCGCCAGUUCUCUGAGAUAGAAGAUGAGAGACAAAGAGAAAAAUUGACAGAGAUCAUAUCACCACUCCACUGCUUUUGAAGCUCCCCUUACAUAAAUUUCUACUCCCAUAUGAUGGCGGUGGUAAUGGGCUCAAAUCUCCACCUUGCAUGUGGUCAAGUGCUCUUCAGAGCCAGGUCUUGGUAGAAUUGGAUUCAGAACCCUCUGAUCAUCUUUCUCUAAUAUUUCUCUCCCUCUGGGUCUAUGGACCAAAAUUCUUUUUGGCAUGCAGAAGCAUGAAGUGCUCAAAGUGGCCAUGCUGUAGACAUAAUUUACAUUUCAACAGCACUCUGUGUAUCCCCUACACUCCUUUCUGGAAACCAGUUCCGGUAAAGCAAUGCUGUCCAAGAGUGCAUUAUGAAAUAGUGGAAAUGUUCUGUAUUUGUGCUAUUUAAUAUGGUAGUGACUUUCUCAUGUGACUGCUGAGCACUUUAAACGUGACUAGUAUGACUG